rnacentral:rRNA from 1 species
CAUGUCUUUAUGAUUAUAAUUUAAGGUUUGAUCUGCCCUCUGAUAUAAUGAUUGAAUGGCCGCAGUAAUUUGACUGUGCAAAGGUAGCGUGAUAAUUAGUUUUUUAAUUGAAAGCUUGAAUGAAUGAUUUUACGAGGGAACAUCUGUCUCUUUUUAAUGGAUUUAAUUUUAUUUUUAAGUGAAAAAGCUUAGAUUGUGUAAGGGGACGAGAAGACCCUGAAGAGUUUUAUAUUUAAAUUUUAAUUUUGUAAUAGUGGUUGAUUUUUAAUUAUUAUUUAAGUGUUUUGUUGGGGUGAUGUAAAGAUUUAUUAAACUCUUUUUGUUUAUUUCAAUUAUUUUUGUGUUUGUUGAUUUAUUUUUGUGAGUAAAAGUUAAAUUACCUUAGGGAUAACAGCGUAAUUUUUUAUGAAGUUCUUAUUUUUUUAAGGGAUUGCGACCUCGAUGUUGGAUUAAAAUUUAGGUUUGGUGUAGAUGCUAGACUAAUUGAGUCUGUUCGACUUUUAAAUUUUUACAUGAUCUGAGU